rnacentral:misc_RNA from 1 species
CAUGUACAGAUUAAUUGAUAUUAAUGAGAAUUAUCUCUUUCUACAUGGAGGAAAUCUCAUUUCCUGCAAUGGAAAUGCUAAAAGCAUAGGUUUUAGGAGGAAGUAAUGCGGGAAAAUUUCUGUUUUUCCAAUUUAUAAAGGUGAGAAGAAGGAAUGAACAUAAUUUCUUUGAGAUUCAGAAAAGGGUUCAAUCUAUCUUGUGCAAUUGAUUCUUUUUUUCCCUUAUCCUCACACUCUCAAUUGAAAUAUUUAAAGAAUUAAAUAAACCAUUGCCUACUUCAGAAUAUUUUUGCAUUUCUGAUAGAGAAAGUAGUAAACUAAGGAAAAUGUACAGAAAAGAAGGGGAACUGGUAUUGAUUGUAUUAUAUCAGCAAACUUUUUACAGAACAAGAGUUACAAUCAACACUGAAAUCCCAGUUCCAAUAGACCAGCUUGAGAAACAAGAAAAGAAAUAAGAAGAAAACAGAUAAAUGACUGAUAACCAGGCCCCUGGAUGAAUAUCCUGUGCAGAUAAUACGGCCCUGCCCUUACAAAUGUGAUUUCCCAAAAUGAUGCUUCAUUCCUUUUCCUUCUCUCCUUAAAUUCUGGAGCUGGAUUCUUCUGUUAAAACUACCCCUGGCCACAUAUCCUCUGCCUUUUUGUCUUUUUCAGCUGCCAAGCAAGAUUCCCCUUCCACUGCCCUGCCCCUUAUUUCUUCUAGAGUAAACCUUGAAAUGUUGUGGCCCCUUCUCAUUCCUAUCAGUUUCACUUGACAGUUGAGGAUUUCUAUUAUUGCACAUGAGUUGUCCUACUAUUGGACUUUUGUGUGAAAAGGUUGAGGAUUGCAGAUACUUGGACUAAGAAUCAGUACUUCAGAUACUUUAAAUAAGAAUCACUUCCAAAUUUGCAAGUACUUUUUUCAAAGAUGAACAUAAAUUCAGGAUUGUAGUGGAAAACAAUAGAAAUGGCUAUAUCUAGCUGUCAGGUAGAAUAAUAAGCCUAAUGUGUGCAUUGCUUACUUGUUACGAACAAUUUAAAUUAAAAUUUCAUACAAUAAACCUUAAUAAUUCAAAUGGAUGAGAAUGAGAAAUCCUGGGACCACUAAGAAAUGGAUUCGUAAGUGAGAUGGUAAUUUUAUCUAUAGAUUGUCAUUCUUUACUGGAAAGAUUUUAUAUCAUCAUUUUUAUAAUUAUUUAUGCAAUAAGAUCAUUUCCUGGCUUUGCAUAAUACUUUACUUUUGGUUAUUUUAUGUGGAUCACAUUGAUGGACAUUCAACAUGAUUGAAGAGCUUUACUGAUCAUGCACUUGUCCUUCUCAUAGGAGGAUGACAUAACCUUGUGACUGUUCUCUUUUUUCUGUUACCUAAUAAAUUCGUCAUUUAAAAAAGAAGAAUAAUAAACAAAUAAUUAUUUCCCUGCAAUUCCUUCCUUGAUUGUGCACCACUUAAAAUUUAGGCUCCAACAUUUCAUGGAGGUUGUUUUAAUCUUCCUAAAUAUUAUUGAAGCAAAUCUAAGUGGUACUUGCUUGUGAGUAGAAUAUUAUUUAUUUAUUUCUUGUAAAGAAGUUUUGGAUUUUAAAGCUUUUAUGUGUUUGAUCAGGCUCCCUGGAUACAAGUAAGCAGA